AAGCUAUCGCCGCUGCCAACCUAUCUAUUGCUGCAAGCUAUCCCUCACUGCUAAGCUAUCGCUGCCAACCUAUCUAUCGCUGCCAAUUUAUCUACCACUGCCAAUCUAUCUAUUGCUGCUAAUCUAUCGCUGCUGUCAAUCUAUCUAUCGCUGCUAAUCUAUCGCCGCUGCCAAUCUAUCGCCGCUGCCAAUCUAUCCCUCGCUGCUAAGCUAUCCCUCGCUGCUAAGCUAUCGCUGCCAACCUCUCUAUUGCUGCAAGCUAUCCCUCACUGCUAAGCUAUCGCUGCCAACCUCUCUAUUGCUGCCAAUUUAUCUACCACUGCCAAUCUAUCUAUUGCUGCUAAUCUAUCGCUGCUGUCAAUCUAUCUAUCGCUGCUAAUCUAUCGCCGCUGCCAAUCUAUCCCUCACUGCUAAGCUAUCCCUCGCUGCUAAGCUAUCACUGCCAAUCUAUCGCUGCUAAUCUAUCCCUCGCUGCUAAGCUAUCCCUCACUACUAAGCUAUCUAUCACUGCUAAUCUAUCACUGCCAACCUAUCUAUCACUGCCAAUCUAUCUAUCGCUGCUAAUCUAUCGCUGCUAAUCUAUUGCUGCUAAUCUAUCGCUGCCAACCUAUCUACCGCGGCGAAUCUAUCUAUCGUUGCCAAUUUAUCUACCACUGCCAAUCUAUCUAUCGCUGCCAAUCUAUUGCUGCUAAUCUAUCGCUGCUAAUCUAUCGCUGCUGCCAAUCUAUCUUUCGCUGCUAAUCUAUCGCCGCUGCCAAUCUAUCCCUCGCUGCUAAGCUAUCCCUCGCUGCUAAGCUAUCCCUCACUGCUAAGCUAUCUCUCGCUGCUAAGCUAUCCCUCGCUGCUAAGCUAUCCCUCACUACUAAGCUAUCUAUCACUGCUAAUCUAUCACUGCCAACCUAUCUAUCACUGCCAAUCUAUCUAUCGCUGCUAAUCUAUCGCUGCUAAUCUAUUGCUGCUAAUCUAUCGCUGCCAACCUAUCUACCGCGGCGAAUCUAUCUAUCACUAUCAUUACUAGUUCAAAAUAGAACUAGAGCAUAAAUACACUAAACUUCUUUUGAUAGGUAAUGAUUUUUGGUAACGCUUAUAGCAUUAUAUCAUCUAUAUAGGGUAAAUCAUGGUCCCAUUUGGUCCCAUUUUGUUAAAAUGGGAUCAAAUGGGACCAGAAUCAGUAAUUUAUAAGAAGAACAUGACCUGGGACUAGAUUUAUAAUAUAAACAGUGUAAAGUGACUAAUUUAAUAAACACUAUAUGAGACCAGAACUAAGAAAUUUGA
rnacentral:sRNA from 1 species